rnacentral:rRNA from 1 species
CCUACGGGCGGCAGCAGUGGGGAAUAUUGGACAAUGGGGGGAACCCUGAUCCAGCCAUGCCGCGUGUGUGAAGAAGGCCCUCGGGUUGUAAAGCACUUUCAGUGAGGAAGAACGCCUGGUGGUUAAUACCCAUCAGGAAAGACAUCACUCACAGAAGAAGCACCGGCUAACUCCGUGCCAGCAGCUGCGGUAAUACGGAGGGUGCGAGCGUUAAUCGGAAUUACUGGGCGUAAAGCGCGCGUAGGUGGCUUGAUAAGCCGGUUGUGAAAGCCCCGGGCUCAACCUGGGAACGGCAUCCGGAACUGUCAAGCUAGAGUGCAGGAGAGGAAGGUAGAAUUCCUGGUGUAGCGGUGAAAUGCGUAGCGAUCGGGAGGAAUACCAGUGGCGAAGGCGGCCUUCUGGACUGACACUGACACUGAGGUGCGAAAGCGUGGGUAGCAAACAGGAUUAGAUACCCUAGUAGUC